GAUGAAGAACGUAGCGAAAUGCGAUAAGUAGUGUGAAUUGCAGAAUUCAGUGAAUCAUCGAAUCUUUGAACGCACAUUGCGCCCCUUGGUAUUCCAUGGGGCAUGCUUGUUCGAGCGUCAUUUGUACCCUCGACCUCCCUUUGGGGAAGUCGGCGUUGGGGACCGGCAGCACACCGCCGGCCCUGAAAUGGAGUGGCGGCCCGUCCGCGGCGACCUCUGCGUAGUAAACCAACUCGCACCGGAACCCCGACGUGGCCACGCCGUAAAACACCCAACUUCUGAACGUUGACCUCGAAUCAGGUAGGACUACCCGCUGAACUUAAGCAUAUCAAUAGCGGAGGA
rnacentral:misc_RNA from 1 species